rnacentral:rRNA from 1 species
UACGGGGGGGGCAAGCGUUGUUCGGAAUUACUGGGCGUAAAGGGCUCGUAGGCGGCCAACUAAGUCAUACGUGAAAUCCCUCGGCUUAACCGGGGAACUGCGUCUGAUACUGGAUGGCUUGAGUUCGGGAGAGGGAUGCGGAAUUCCAGGUGUAGCGGUGAAAUGCGUAGAGAUCAGGAAGAACACCGGUGGCGAAAGCGUUCUGCUAGACCUGUACUGACACUGAGGGACGAAAGCUAGGGGAGCGAAUGGG